rnacentral:lncRNA from 1 species
UCCGAGUUGAGUAACAAAUGUCUAAGUGAUGAGUGUCACUUAUCGAAUUUUUUACAAAUGGCAGACUGCUGUUGCCAAACCUUUCUCAUCAUGUCCUGCUCAGGUUAAUCCACACACAACCCCCAAGAGGAAAGUACAGUCUAGUGGACAGGAGCAUGACCUGGAGUCAGAGGCCCUGGGUUCAAAUCCUGGCUCUGUUACUUCCAAGCUGUGCAACUGUGGGAUGAAGACAAGCGAGGGGCUGGCCCCGCAGAGACGCCCAGCUCUGCCCAGCUGCACCGACAGCAGGACUCACCAGAUUCUGAGUAAACACGGAAACGUCCUCUGUGCUGUUGUCAGAAUUCACGCGCACCAAUCUUCUAAGUCUGGCGGAACUUACAAUCCCUCUGUUGCUUUGGAGAGCGAAGGCUACUGGUUGCAGUGUUUAAACCACAUUAGGCACUUAAAAGUGGGACCCAAGGGGAAGCCAGCUCUGGGUAAGAUUUUCAAAUGUCCAAGGAUUGUUCUGAGCCUUCAAUUAGGAGGCUCCAUUUAAAAUUCCUAACAACAAAAAAAAAACAGACAAGUAGGACCAAAUCACACUAAAAAGCAUCUGCUCAGCAGCAACAAAAUGAAAAGGCAAACCUAUGGAAUGGAAGAAAAUAU